rnacentral:rRNA from 1 species
AGAGUUUGAUCAUGGCUCAGGAUGAACGCUGGCGGCGUGCCUAAUACAUGCAAGUCGAACGAGGUGCUUUUGUAGCAAUACGAGAGUAUCCUAGUGGCGAACGGGUGAGUAACGCGUUGGUGACCUACCCCAAAGUGUGGGAUAACAGUCCGAAAGGAUUGCUAAUACCGCAUGUGGUUAUUGGAUUUAGAAACCGGUAACUAAAGGAGCAAUUCGCUUUGGGAGGGACCUGCGUCCCAUCAGCUAGUUGGUGAGGUAAUGGCUCACCAAGGCGACGACGGGUAGGGGACCUGAGAGGGUGGCCCCCCACAAUGGAACUGAAACACGGUCCAUACACCUACGGGUGGCAGCAGUAGGGAAUAUUGCACAAUGGGCGAAAGCCUGAUGCAGCAACGCCGCGUGUGUGAUGAAGGCCUUCGGGUCGUAAAGCACUUUUCUGGGAGAUGAGAAAGGACAGUAUCCCAGGAAUAAGUCUCGGCUAACUACGUGCCAGCAGCCGCGGUAAUAC